CUGCUGGUAAUGAAAGUUUAACUCAAACACGUGUGUCUCUUUCAGCCUCCCUGCUUCCUGUCAUUGGUGCUGCAGUGUCAGCUGUGCUGCUCUUAUUGUCUUCCCUCGCUUCCUGUCAUUGGUGCUGCAGUGUCAGUCUGUGCUGCUCUUAUUGUCUGUCCUCAUAAUCAUCCUCCUGCUGAAGAGAAGACAAAAGCAAAGGAACAAGGAAACACAUUCAAAGUGCUCUUUUAUGAAAGAUCAAGCUGCAUCACAUAGAAGCAAAAAUGAAGAGGAUGAUGAGGCUGUUUAUGAAAAUUUUGAACUUGAUGAAAACAUGGAUCAUGAUGAAUCUGAACAGGACUAUAUUAAUGUGGACUCUGGUCAUUCUGAACAGGACUGUAUUGAUGUGGACUCUGAUCAUUCUGAACAGGACUAUAUUAAUGUGGACUCAAUGUAAAUCAGUGGUCUUCACUAUUUUUUAAUGGGAGCCGCACUGAUAGGGCAAAGUCAAUCGGAGAGCCACUUUCACCACAAAGUAUCGGAAGUUACAUCCAGUUAUAAAUAGUAUGUCUUUU
rnacentral:lncRNA from 1 species